UACGUAGGGAGCGAGCGUUAUCCGGAAUUAUUGGGCGUAAAGCGUGCGUAGGCGGUUCGUUAAGUCAAAUCUGAAAGCCCCCGGCUUAACCGGGGAGGGUGAUUUGAAACUGGCGGACUUGAGUACGGCAGAGGUAAGUGGAAUUCAAUGUGUAGCGGUGGAAUGCGUAGAUAUAUUGAGGAACACCAGUGGCGAAGGCGGCUUACUGGACCGGAACUGACGCUGAUGCACGAAAGCGUGGGGAGCAAACAGG
rnacentral:rRNA from 1 species